rnacentral:rRNA from 1 species
GACGAACGCUGGCGGCGUGCUUAACACAUGCAAGUCGAACGGAAAGGCCCUGCUUUUGUGGGGUGCUCGAGUGGCGAACGGGUGAGUAACACGUGAGUAACCUGCCCUUGACUUUGGGAUAACUUCAGGAAACUGGGGCUAAUACCGGAUAGGAGCUCCUGCUGCAUGGUGGGGGUUGGAAAGUUUCGGCGGUUGGGGAUGGACUCGCGGCUUAUCAGCUUGUUGGUGGGGUAGUGGCUUACCAAGGCUUUGACGGGUAGCCGGCCUGAGAGGGUGACCGGCCACAUUGGGACUGAGAUACGGCCCAGACUCCUACGGGAGGCAGCAGUGGAGAGUGUUGCACAAUGGGCGGAAGCCUAAUGCAGCAACGCCGCGUGCGGGAUGACGGCCUUCGGGUUGUAAACCGCUUUCGCCUGUGACGAAGCGUGAGUGACGGUAAUGGGUAAAGAAGCACCGGCUAACUACGUG